CCUACGGGAGGCAGCAGUGAGGAAUAUUGGUCAAUGGCCGUAAGGCUGAACCAGCCAAGUCGCGUGAAGGAAGAAGGAUCUAUGGUUUGUAAACUUCUUUUAUAGGGGAAUAAAGGUAUCCACGUGUGGAUAUUUGCAUGUACCCUAUGAAUAAGCAUCGGCUAACUCCGUGCCAGCAGCCGCGGUAAUACGGAGGAUGCGAGCGUUAUCCGGAUUUAUUGGGUUUAAAGGGUGCGUAGGUUGUUUUUUAAGUCAGCGGUGAAAGUUUGUGGCUCAACCAUAAAAUUGCCGUUGAAACUGGAAGACGUGAGUGUGUUUGAGGUAGGCGGAAUGCGUGGUGUAGCGGUGAAAUGCAUAGAUAUCACGCAGAACUCAGAUUGCGAAGGCAGCUUACUAAGCCAUAACUGACACUGAAGCACGAAAGCGUGGGGAUCAAACAGGAUUAGAUACCCGGGUAGUC
rnacentral:rRNA from 1 species